GGUAUCCAGUUGGAGAGAUUUUAUGAAGGGUGGAAAGAAGAAUAAGAAAGGGGAAAUUCGUCCACUGAAGCUUAAGACAGAAGAUCCC